CAACCCCUCCCCUCCUCCCUUCCUCCUCUCAUCCCCUCCUCCCUGUCUCAGUUGGGCUGGCCGGAGGCCGGGGGUCAAAGGACCGAGGGCACCGGUGUCCGGCCGCCGUUUGGGAGCCCUGUUCGCCCAGCUCACCCAGCUACCACCGACCCUUCUGACCUUGGCACGACCCUUCUGACCUGCCAACGGGGGCCCGCUGGUGGAGGCUGCCCCGGAGGGACUGGCAGCCCCCAGGCUGAGGGAGGGAGACUUGGCUGGGGGAGAUUAAGUAGAGGGAGGAGGCCCACAGGUAGUGGGAGGCUAAGGGGGAGAGGACCCACAGGGGGAGGAGGCCCACAGGUAGGGGGAGGCUAAGGGGGAGAGGACCCACAGGGGGAGGAGGCCCACAGGCGGAGCUAGGCUAAGGGGGAGAGGAACCACAGGUGGAGGGAGGCCAAGAGGGAGGGGGCCCACAGGCGGAGGGAGCCCACAGAGAGAGGGGGGCCCACAGGCUGUGGGAGCCCACAGAGGGAGGGAGGCUAAGUGGGGGGAGCCCACAGAGGGAGGAGGCCCACAGGCCGAGGGAACCCACAGAGGAAGGGAGGCCAAGAAGGAGGGGGCCCACAGAGGAAGGAGGCCCACAGGCUGAGGGAGGCUAAGGGGGAGAGGGCCCACGGGCAGAGGGAACCCCCAAAGGGAGGAGGCCCACAGCCUGAGGGAGCCCACAGAGGGAGGAGGCCCACAGGCUGAGGGAGACUAAGGGGGAGGGGGCCCCCGAUCAGAGGAGCCGCAGCACCCCCGGCCCCUGUCCCGGCCCCCGCCGCCCCUCGUUGGAACGGGGCGAGCGGGCGGGCGAGGAUGAGGCUGCCGUGCGGGCCGCUGGCCCUGGCGCUGCCCCUGGCUCUGCUCCUGGCACUGCUGAGCCGGGGGCAGUGCGACGCCUCGACCGGCGCGGACACGGCCGAGGCCCAGGAGGAGGCCCAGGAGGAGGCCGAGGCCCAGGCGGCCCCGGCCGAAGGAUCCUACGCCGACUGGGGCCUGCGGGGCCUCCGUGGCGGCUUCGACUACCUCAAUGGCUACUUCGACUCGUUCCUGGAGCUGCUGGGCGGGAAGGACGGCGUCUGCCAGUACCGGUGCCGAUACGGGAAGUCACCAAUGCCCAGACCUGGCUACAAGCCGCAGGAACCCAACGGCUGCAGUUCCUACUUCUUGGGUCUCAAGGUACCAGAAAGUCUGGACCUGGGGAUCCCAGCCAUGACCAAGUGCUGCAACCAGCUGGACCUCUGCUACGACACCUGCGGGGCUAACAAAUACCGCUGCGAUGCCAAGUUCCGCUGGUGCCUUCAUUCCAUCUGCUCUGACCUCAAGCGCAGCCUGGGAUUCGUCUCCAAGGUGGAGGCCUGCGAGUCCCUAGCAGACACCGUCUACAACACCGUGUGGACCUUGGGCUGCCGGCCCUUCAUGAACAGCCAGCGGGCAGCCUGCAUUUGCGCUGAAGAGGAGAAGGAGGAAUUCACAGGUGAAACCUUGAUGGCACCUCAUUACAGUGAGAACUAGCAAUACUAAUUCUACAGUUUGGGGCAGAUGACCUCGGACUGCUAUCCUGGGAAUGAGUACUUUAAGGCAGUUAUCUCUGAUGAAUCAGGACAAAUCCUGGAAUGUUUAUGUUGAAAUCCAAUACCACAGUUUGAACUGCUCUGCUCAAAAUGAUCUCUCUGUGCCAUUCAAAUGUCAAUGUCACCUAAAUGGGAAGAAGCCUCCACAGGCAAAGAGAAGUACAGACAUACUCUGUCCCUUUCACAUUCACCUGGAAGGUUCCCUAUUUGGCUUUUCUCUCCAUUUCUUUUGACUCUUGGAUGCAGAGGCAAUCCCAAAUUCAGCCUUCCAGUGCAGGUAACAAUGCUGUGAUGGACCUAAAUUGCUGAUCGUGAAGAAGAGCUUGGAAAGUGGGGAACUUCCCUCUGGCAGACAGAGACAUUACUGUGGCAUUCUUCAAACUCUGAAAGGAGCUUCUGGCUCAUGAGCUUUGGAUCUCCUAGGUCUUGCUGAAACUGGAAGGGCCCUCGAGUGAUAACAGUCACUCCGACCAACUGACGGAGUCUUUUAUAGAGAAGAGGAGAGAGAACAAUGAAAACCCGAGAAAAUCUCUGCUUUGAAUUCAUCCAGGAAUUGUGGUUAAACAGCACGACGGAGGGUCAGAGUUGCAAAACUUUCCAUUACCUGAGCA